CAUGCCCAGAGACACUGCCUAUGCUAUGCUACUAAAAUAAUGGCAUCCACAUCUUUUUGUCCCAAACAGGCAAAUCUGAUGUUGGAAAUCUGUAGAAGACAACUUCGGCUCUCCUUCUAGAAGUCUGUUAGCUGAUAUCCAACGGACAGGACUGCCACAUCUGAAGGACAAUAUUUUCAGCCGGAACUUGAUUCUGGCACCUCACAGGUGGGCACCAUUGCCAUUAUAAGAGACCAAGGGAGGCGUUCAAUGGACCUGGGCAGUGGAAAGGAAUCCAUUUGAGAAGGUACCUGCUCAAGCCAAGCCUCAGGAAGCAACAAACUGCUAUCAGGCAACUGGACUGGCAAGUGUGGCCGUUGAUUCUUGUUUGCAUGACUGGCAGUUGAC